AUUGAACGCUGGCGGUAGGCCUAACACAUGCAAGUCGAACGGCAGCACAGUAAGAGCUUGCUCUUACUGGUGGCGAGUGGCGUACUGGUGCGGAAUACAUCCGAAUCUACUUUUUCGUGGGGGAUAACGUAGGGAAACUUACGCUAAUACCGCAUACGACAUACGGGUGAAAUCAGGGGAUCUUCGGACCUUGUGCGAUUGAAUGAGCCGAUGUCGGAUUAGCUAGUUGGCGGGGUAAAGGCCCACCAAGGCGACGAUCCGUAGCUGGUCUGAGAGGAUGAUCAGCCACACUGGAACUGAGACACGGUCCAGACUCCUACGGGAGGCAGCAGUGGGGAAUAUUGGACAAUGGGCGCAAGCCUGAUCCAGCCAUACCGCGUGGGUGAAGAAGGCCUUCGGGUUGUAAAGCCCUUUUGUUGGGAAAGAAAAGCAGCAGGUUAAUACCCCGCUGUUCUGACGGUACCCAAAGAAUAAGCACCGGCUAACUUCGUG
rnacentral:rRNA from 1 species